rnacentral:rRNA from 1 species
GUCUUUUAGAUUUUAAUUUAAGGUUUGGCCUGCUCUAUGAUAUUUAUUAAAUGGCUGCAAUAAUUUAAUUGUACAAAGGUAGCAUAAUCACUUGUUUUUUAAUUGGGAACUAGUAUGAAUGGUUUGAUGAGAAAUUUUUUUUAUUGAAUUAAUUAUUUUGAAUUUUAUUUUAAGUAAAAAUUCUUAAAUUUUUUUAUGGGACGAGAAGACCCUUUAGAAUUUUAUUUAAAUUUAUUUAUUUAUAUUUGUUUAAUGAUUAAGUAUUUAAUUUUUUGAAUUUGGUUGGGGUGAUUGGGAAAUUUUUAUAACUUUCUUUUUUUUUUUCAUUAAUUUUUGUUUUUUUGAUCCAUUAUUUUGAUUGUAAGAUUAAAUUACCUAAGGGAUAACAGCGUUAUUUAAUUGGAGAGUUCUUAUUGAUAAUUAAGUUUGCGA